UGAGGAAUUUUCGGCAAUGGGGGCAACCCUGACCGAGCAAUACUACGUGAAGGAGGAAGGUCUACGGAUUGUAAACUUCUGUUAGCAGGGAAGAAGGGCUGAAUGCAAAUUCAGUUUUGACGGUACCUGCAGAGAAAGCCACGACUAACUACGUGCCAGCAGUCGCGGUAAGACGUAGGUGGCGAACGUUAUCCGGAAUUAUUGGGCGUAAAGGGUGCGUAGAUGGUGUAAUAAGUUAUCAGCGGUAAAUCGGGGCUCAACCUCGUGGAAGUCGGUAAUACUGUUAUACUUGAGUGCAGGAGAGGUUAGCGGAACUCCAUGUGGAGCGGUAAAAUGCGUAGAUAUAUGGAAGAACACCAAUAACGGCGAAGGCAGUUAACUAUUCUGUUACUGACAUUGAGGCACGAAAGCGUGGGGAGCAAAAAGGAUUAGAUACCCUUGUAGUCCACGCCCUAAACGAUGAGUGCUAGAUAUUGGGAACUUGAUUCUCAGUGUCGCUAGUU
rnacentral:rRNA from 1 species